rnacentral:rRNA from 1 species
UACGAGGGGGGCGAGCGUUGUUCGGAAUUAUUGGGCGUAAAGCGCACGUAGGCGGCUAUUCAAGUCGGGGGUGAAAGCCCGGGGCUCAACCCCGGAACUGCCCUCGAAACUAGAUAGCUAGAAUCUUGGAGAGGCGAGUGGAAUUCCGAGUGUAGAGGUGAAAUUCGUAGAUAUUCGGAAGAACACCAGUGGCGAAGGCGACUCGCUGGACAAGUAUUGACGCUGAGGUGCGAAAGCGUGGGGAGCAAACAGG